rnacentral:rRNA from 1 species
UAAGGGAGACUGCCGGUGACAAACCGGAGGAAGGUGGGGAUGACGUCAGGUCAUCAUGGCCCUUACGGCCAGGGCUACACACGUGCUACAAUGGUACGUACAGAGGGCUGCAAACCCGCGAGGGGGAGCUAAUCUCAUAAAACGUAUCGUAGUCCGGAUCGCAGUCUGCAACUCGACUGCGUGGAGUCGGAAUCGCUAGUAAUCGCAAAUCAGAAUGUUGCGGUGAAUACGUUCCCGGCCCUUGUACACACCGCCCGUCACACCAUGGGAGUGGAUUGCACCAGAAGUG